UUAAAUUCCAAAAAAAAAGAGAGUAGCUUAUGUGUGAGGGGCAAGCGAUUCAGGGACGGUGAGAGCCUGAACCUAUAUCCGUAAGUGAACCGGACUUUUGAGAAGCCUGCCUGAAUCAAGUAGGGAUAGGCCGGGGCAACCCCCGUUAACAAUACCGAGUGGCUAUACAGCUAUAAGAGUGGUACCGCGAGUUAUACCUCGUCUCUUUC
rnacentral:ncRNA from 1 species